rnacentral:rRNA from 1 species
AUUGAACGCUGGCGGCAUGCUUUACACAUGCAAGUCGAACGGCAGCAUGGACAGUUUAUUCUGUCUGAUGGCGAGUGGCGAACGGGUGAGUAAUGCAUCGGGACGUACCGAGUAGAGGGGGAUAACUAAUCGAAAGAUUAGGUAAUACCGCAUACCCUCUGAGGAGGAAAGCUGGGGACCAUAAAAGGCCUGGCGCUAUUCGAGCGACCGAUGUCUGAUUAGCUAGUUGGUAGGGUAAAGGCCUACCAAGGCGACGAUCAGUAGCGGUUCUGAGAGGAAGCACCGCCACACUGGGACUGAGAAACGGCCCAGACUCCUACGGGAGGCAGCAGUGGGGAAUAUUGGACAAUGGGGGCAACCCUGAUCCAGCCAUGCCGCGUGAGUGAAGAAGGCCCUCGGGUUGUAAAGCUCUUUUGUCCGGAAAGAAAAGCAUCUGGUUAAUACCCGGGUGUUCUGACGGUACCGGAAGAAUAAGCACCGGCUAACUUCGUGCCAGCAGCCG